ACCCAUUUCAACUAAGUGAGAAAUCCUCGUUUCAAAGAGAAGGGUUUGACAGGUUACAAGACCGGUCCGCCAUGAUCUCUGAAACAAUGGCGAGCCCCCAAUUUGAUGAAGAAAUAUAUUCUAUAGAUGGUGAUGAAUACCUUUUCUCUUCACUAAAAUUGGAUAAAAGUGAGGCUAGAAAGGGGAAGACUUCGAAGAAAUCACGAUCUGAAUCUGAAGAACACAAGAAACAAUUAGAGAGACCGAAAGAAAAAGAUCUGGAGUUCUAUAAGUUCUUGGCAAGUCAUGACAAAGAGCUUUUGGAGUGAAGAUGCAGAUGGGGAUGUGGAUGAGACAGGAGGAUGCUGAAAUAUAUGAAGUCAGUCAACAGUUUGGAGCACUUGCAGAAAUGGCUGAGAAACCAUCUGUCAAGGUUAUCACCACUGCAAUGGUUGAUUCUUGGUGUAAAUCUAUUCAGGAAGAGAAAAGUAUAAGACCUCUUCGUUUGCUCAUUCAAGCUUCAGAUCUGCUUGCCAUUAUGGUGAUGGCGAUGAUGACUCUUCCUCAAAGCUUCGCAUCAUGUUGAGCAGCGUAUUCAAUAAAAUAAUGGUGUUUGUUCUGAGUGAGAUUGAUAGCAUUUUUCGAUCAGUUUUUAUACUUCCUAGUUCGGGUGGGAAGAAGGAGACCAUUGUAGAAUUGAUGAUUCAAAAGGCUUGGAAGAGUCAUCGAUAUUUAGUGAAAUCAUUAUCUUGGAAAUGCCCUUCAUGUACUGAACCCAAUGACGAAUGGGCAGAUGAUCUUGUUCACAUUUAAGCAUCUCAGACAUUCAGCCAUAUUCUUGGCAGCAUUUCCAAACCUCUUGAGGAAGUAUAUUAAGGUGCAACAGUUCAAAACCCAAACAUUUGGAGGAUGAAGUUCAAAGCCCGAACAUUUGGAGCAUGAACAAGUGCAGGCUCAAAAGUUCAAACCUGAACAUUUGGAGCAUGAACUAGUGCAGAACACCGAUGCGGACUUGGUCUCAGAGUUGGAGCUCUCUUCAGAUGAAGAAGAAAACACGCCAGAGCUCGAACCACGCCUUGCCUUGAAGAGCCAGAAGACAAGAUCACUCCAAGAAAUGAAAAUCUGAGUCCCUAAUUUCCAAGCAAAAAUUUCGAAAUCUGGGGUAGCUUUUGAUUGUCUUUUCAUUUGUCUGAUUUAUGUCUAAUUUACGUCUAAAGUUCCUUCUGGCUCAUUAUUAAUUUCCCAAGCUGUACUUAUAAUUGUAGUAGUCCAUUUGGUUGAUUCACUGUAUUGGUGUUCGUUUUAA